rnacentral:lncRNA from 1 species
UUUAUCGUCUCAGCCGUAUAUACCUCGGCUUCAUCAGCCGAUUCUUUACAUUUACUUAAUUGGUUCGGCUCUUCUUGAACCGAAUGUUCUUCUAUUAAAGAUUUCUCCUUGAAGAAAAUGGCUCUCUACCAGCCGCAUAUACCUCGGUCUCAUCAGCCGAUUCUUUACUUUCACUUGAUUGGCUCGGCUAUUCUUGAACCGACUGUUC